rnacentral:lncRNA from 1 species
GUCAGGGGUGGGAAAAGACUGCAGGGGAGGUUUGGGCCAGGUCCCACAGAGCCACGGAUUCCAAGCAGAACAAGGAGGUCAUGCUUGAUUUGGUAGAUACUGGGAAGCUCAUGAAGGUUUUUAAGCAGGAGUGCCCCAUCACUCUGGUAGAAGUGGAAGAGCUGGGAUGAAGGGGCAGAAGCUGAAGACAGGUUCAGUUUGGCAGCUGCUCCAAGAAUUCAGGUGAGAAACUCCACGCAUCUGGAUUAGGGCUGGGUAUGGAGAGUAAAAUGUCCUCUGGAAACAGUCACAGAGAGACAUAAGCUCUGCCACUUAAUCUAUUAAUAUAGGUCCGAUCUUCAUUAGAAUUAGAAGGUACUUGAAUUUUGAGUGCCCAGAGGUUCCUGUCAGAAAAACAUUAAACCGCCACUGACUAACCAGGCCUGGAAAUAUCCUGUGCUGGGUGAAUGUGUCCAAAGGUCAUAAGCUGGACAAACAGAAUAGAGGUCACGCGGCCUUAUGUCGAGUAAAUGUUUGAGAAGGGAUGAAGACAAACGCAGGGACUCCUGUGAGCAAUCAUGAGGAAGUGUCUCUUAGAAUCAUACAUAUGACAACGCUUAAAAACAUGGGCUAUGUCCUCACACACAUAAGUUCAAAUCUUGGUUCUGCCUGGUACAAAGGCACAUGAUCUUAAGGGAUCUCUGGUGAUGAUAAUCCUGCUUAUCUUCCAGGGUGGUGAAGAUUACAUGAGUUUUCCAUAUUAGAUGCUAAGCAUAUUUCCUGGCUUGCAGAAAGAGCUUGGAAAGUGCUAGCCAUGGUGACUAUCAGUUCUUUCUCACACGUGCCCCAUCUGGGGCAGACCCCCAUCACUGCACACCUGAAGACAAGGGAGCUUCCUGGCUGCUCUCCUGCCCCUAGCCUCUCACUACCCUAAUCAAACCUACAUCCUGUUGCCAAACUCCGCUUCCUUCCAUGCCCCUUGGGGGUCUAGUUCAAGAACCCACUGAGGCAAAACAUUCAGUCCAAGCCCUCACCCACCCUUCCCCCAAACUCUACUUCCUACCACUUCCUAAAAACACACUUGCCACUCCAAUCUGCCAGCUCUCCUGUCACCCAAAGGUAUAAACCACCGUGGCUCUGCCCUUCCAAGCCUCUGCUC